GAACGCUGGCGGCAGGCUUAACACAUGCAAGUCGAGCGGUAACAGGGGGAGCUUGCUCCCCGCUGACGAGCGGCGGACGGGUGAGUAAUGCAUAGGAAACUGCCCAGUAGUGGGGGAUAGCCCGGGGAAACCCGGAUUAAUACCGCAUACGCCCUUCGGGGGAAAGCAGGGGAUCUUCGGACCUUGCGCUAUUGGAUGUGCCUAUGUCGGAUUAGCUAGUUGGUGGGGUAAGAGCCUACCAAGGCGACGAUCCGUAGCUGGUCUGAGAGGAUGAUCAGCCACAUCGGGACUGAGACACGGCCCGAACUCCUACGGGAGGCAGCAGUGGGGAAUAUUGGACAAUGGGGGCAACCCUGAUCCAGCCAUGCCGCGUGUGUGAAGAAGGCUUUCGGGUUGUAAAGCACUUUCAGUGAGGAGGAAAACCUUACGACUAAUACUCGUGAGGCUUGACGUUACUCACAAAAGAAGCACCGGCUAACUCCGUGCCAGCAGCCGCGGUAAUACGGAGGGUGCCAGCGUUAAUCGGAAUUNCUG
rnacentral:rRNA from 1 species